UGUGGAUAUAGGAGGGUUAGU
rnacentral:miRNA from 1 species